CAACAUGUAAAUUAAACGGAUAAAAAAAAGAUUAGGACAAUAAAACUGCAGUGCUCUAAAAGAUGAAGAGAAGUUAGGUUUCAGCACAUACUGAGAUUUUUUUUUUUUAACUUUUUACUCAAGUAGAAGUGUAAAAUAUACUGUGA